CGAGCGCGAAAGUAUCCUUUCGGGAUGCGAGUAGCGCGGCGGAAGGGUGAGUAAUGCAUGGGUAACGUACCCCAGGCACGAGGAUAGCCCACCGAAAGGUGGAGUAAUACUCGAUGAGACCACCAGACUCGUGUGUAUGCACGAGUCAGCGGUCAAAGGGUGGGGAUCCCGACUUCGGUCGGGACCUGCCGGCCUGGGAGCGGCCCAUGUCCCAUCAGCUAGUUGGUAGGGUAACGGCCUACCAAGGCGACGACGGGUAGCCGGACUGAGAGGUUGGCCGGCCACACUGGGACUGAGACACUGCCCAGACUCCUACGGGAGGCUGCAGGGAUGAAUCUUCCGCAAUGGGCGAAAGCCUGACGGAGCGACGCCGCGUGCGGGAAGAAGCCCUUCGGGGUGUAAACCGCUGUCAAGGGCUACCAAGCAAAUCCCCCUAAUACGGGGAGGCGUUGAGGAGCCCUAAAGGAAGCCACGGCUAACUUCGUGCCAGCAGCCGCGGUAAGACGAAGGUGGCGAGCGUUGUUCGGAAUCACUGGGCUUAAAGAGCACGUAGGCGGCCUGAUAAGCGCCGAGUGAAAUCCCUCGGCCUAACCGAGGAACUGCUCGGCGAACUGUCAGGCUUGAGGCAGGUAGAGGCGUGCGGAACUCUUGGUGGAGCGGUGAAAUGCGUAGAUAUCAAGAGGAACGCCGGUGGCGAAGGCGGCACGCUGGGCCUGUCCUGACGCUGAGGUGCGAAAGCCAGGGGAGCGAACGGGAUUAGA
rnacentral:rRNA from 1 species